rnacentral:rRNA from 1 species
UACGUAGGGGGCUAGCGUUGUCCGGAAUCAUUGGGCGUAAAGCGCGUGUAGGCGGCCCGGUAAGUCCGCUGUGAAAGUCGGGGGCUCAACCCUCGAAAGCCGGUGGAUACUGCCGGGCUCGAGUACGGAAGAGGCGAGUGGAAUUCCUGGUGUAGCGGUGAAAUGCGCAGAUAUCAGGAGGAACACCAAUUGCGAAGGCAGCUCGCUGGGACGUUACUGACGCUGAGACGCGAAAGCGUGGGGAGCAAACAGG